rnacentral:rRNA from 1 species
ACGGGUGAGUAACGCGUGGGUAACCUACCCUGUACACACGGAUAACAUACCGAAAGGUAUGCUAAUACGGGAUAAUAUAUUUGAGAGGCAUCUCUUGAAUAUCAAAGGUGAGCCAGUACAGGAUGGACCCGCGUCUGAUUAGCUAGUUGGUAAGGUAAAGGCUUACCAAGGCGACGAUCAGUAGCCGACCUGAGAGGGUGAUCGGCCACAUCGGAACUGAGACACGGUCCAAACUCCUACGGGAGGCAGCAGUGGGGAAUAUUGCACAAUGGGCGAAAGCCUGAUGCAGCAACGCCGCGUGAGUGAUGAAGGCCUUCGGGUCGUAAAACUCUGUCCUCAAGGAAGAUAAUGACGGUACUUGAGGAGGAAGCCCCGGCUAACUACGUGCCAGCAGCCGCGGUAAUACGUAGGGGGCUAGCGUUAUCCGGAUUUACUGGGCGUAAAGGGUGCGUAGGCGGUCUUUCAAGUCAGGAGUGAAAGGCUACGGCUCAACCGUAGUAAGCUCUUGAAACUGGGAGACUUGAGUGCAGGAGAGGAGAGUGGAAUUCCUAGUGUAGCGGUGAAAUGCGUAGAUAUUAGGAGGAACACCAGUUGCGAAGGCGGCUCUCUGGACUGUAACUGACGCUGAGGCACGAAAGCGUGGGGAGCAAACAGGAUUAGAUACCCUGGUAGUCCACGCUGUAAA